AGGCCUCUGAGGUCUGGUUUGGAAAGACAUCAAAAGGCUUUGUGAAUUUCCUUGGGAAUCCCCUACCAGGGUGACAGCAAGGGCAGGCAGCCUGGGGAUGCAGAGUACAAGGUGCAAAGAGCAGCCACUGGAGAAGCCUGCAAGCCCAUAACUCAGCUGCCACAACUGCCUCCUUUAUCAUGCUCUUAGUAUUUUGAUACAUGAUUAAUUUUACUGGAAAAUCCUAACAAAAGCUGACAACAGAAGACCUCACUGAAGUUGCACACUUGGAAAGUAUUCACAAUCUGGGGAAGGAAAACCAAAGGAUGAUCUGGCAUUGAAAGCUGCAUAUCAGAUAGUAAUCCAGUACAUGACAAUGCUUUUUCUUUACCAUAUUUUUUCAAAUCACAGAAUUUCCAUAACUACUUAAGUGGAAUUUUGUUGUUGCUGGAACAAAUGGCGACUCUUGCUUUUUCCCAUACCCUUUCCCCCACAUGCAUUAUGCUGUGUAUGUCUGAAAACAAUUUUUCACAGUUAUGUAGCUUGCACAAAAAAUCUCAGCACCUAAAUCCUUGAUGAAUGCAUCACUAAACAUAUUGGAAAAGAUAUUAUAUGCUGAUGUGGAUUGCAAAUCAGAUGAAAUUCCUCCAUAGAGGAUUUUUUUCACAUAGUGAACCCUAGUAAAACUAUUGCAACAUAUUAAGAUUUUAGGAAUGAUUUUUCAUGUAUAGGCAUUAUAAAAAAAGCCUUCUAGUUUGUAGCUUUCCCAGAUACACUUUUUCUUCAGUAACAAACAUCCCACCUUCAAUCACUGCUGUGAAUUUUUUUGUAUCUGUUUUUCUGUUGAACAUAUCUCUGCCAAAAAGGGGUGCAUUCUGAUCUGGUUUAAACUAGAAGUUUUUAAAGCAAUCCCACUAAAAUAUAUGGAGUUUUUCAUCAGAUGUCUACAAGUCAAUCUAUUUCUUUUAGACCCUCCCCUAGGGGUUGAUGGAAAUGUCCAUAUUUCUGCUAUGUCACUUGAUUAUGUCUGGUGAGACAUCCGAACUAGCUUUGAUAUAAUUAUUUUAAAUACUGCUCUUUUUCAUGGAGUAGCAAUAUGUGCCUCUGCCUUAAAAACCAUGGUAAAGUACUCCAUGUUAAGCUUCAUGCUGCUCUGGCCUAAACUGUUACCUCUACUCAGUUGCAUGGUUUAAAGGUAGGUCAGGUAGCACUUCACUAUAUUGCUGUACUGCUCUGUAGGUACAACCUGUGACAGUUUUCCUGGUUUAGAUCUUGUCAUAUACACAGCUGCAGGAGCUGCUAAAAUCCUCUCAAGGUUUCCAGAACUCUGUGUAGGAUAUUUCUCAUACAUCCCAUCAUGUGGGUGUUUACUUAGCAUGACAUAGCUUCAAACCAUCAUUGCCUUUUAUCCCCUACGCAGUCUGAAGGCGUUCGACAAUGUCUUCUAGAUUCAAAUGUGAGAAAAGGGAGACUUAUCUAACUGUACGCUCCAAGACUUGAGCUACAGAAUAAUUGCCCCAAUGCAGUAGCAAAUACAGUAUUCUAAUAAUUGUACUUCCAUUUUCCCUACAACGAAGCAAAGAAGUUUUCAGCUACUCAUUUAUAAGGAGUAGCUUCUACAAAGGCAGGUGGUCUGAUCUCAUACUCAUACUCAUUUUAUCUGGUAGUAGUCCAAAUGUUUGUUUUAAAUGACUUCUCCAAAAUGAAAUCCAA